AAAAAAGCUUUAUUAAAAGCCACUCUUUAAAAUAAAAAGCUGAUGU
rfam:Tupaia chinensis contig165595, whole genome shotgun sequence.